rnacentral:misc_RNA from 1 species
GAACUUUUGAACGAGCUGUUUGCUGGCCUCUCGGGGCAUGUGCACGCUCCGUUCGAAUCCAACCUUUCAUACACCUGUGCACUCUUUGUAGGGUUGUGGCUGCGAGGCUGCGCUCUAUGUUCAUCAUAAACCCUUCAGUAUGUGUAGAAUGUUCAUUGCGUGUAACGCAUCUUUAUACAACUUUCAGCAACGGAUCUCUUGGCUCU